GACGAACGCUGGCGGCGUGCUUAACACAUGCAAGUCGAACGAAGUCCAACCAGUGGCAACACCGGAGAAGACUUAGUGGCGAACGGGUGAGUAACACGUGAGAAACCUACCCCGGAGUCUGGGAUAAGCCCUCGAAAGGGGGUCUAAUACCGGAUAUCCCCUCCACAUCGCAUGGUGAGGAGAGGAAGGUUCAGGCGCUUCGGGACGGUCUCGCGGCCUAUCAGCUUGUGGGUGAGGUAACGGCUCACCAAGGCAACGACGGGUAGCUGGUCUGAGAGGACGAUCAGCCACACUGGGACUGAGACACGGCCCAGACUCCUACGGGAGGCAGCAGUGGGGAAUCUUGCGCAAUGGGCGAAAGCCUGACGCAGCAACGCCGCGUGCGGGAUGAAGGCCUUCGGGUCGUAAACCGCUUUCAGUAGGGACGAACUCAGACGGUACCUACAGAAGAAGCACCGGCCAACUACGUGCCAGCAGCCGCGGUAAUACGUAGGGUGCGAGCGUUGUCCGGAAUUAUUGGGCGUAAAGGGCUCGUAGGCGGUUUGUCGCGUCGGGAGUGAAAACCCAGGGCUUAACUCUGGGCUUGCUUCCGAUACGGGCUGACUAGAGGUAUGCAGGGGAGAACGGAAUUCCUGGUGUAGCGGUGAAAUGCGCAGAUAUCAGGAGGAACACCGGUGGCGAAGGCGGUUCUCUGGGCAUUACCUGACGCUGAGGAGCGAAAGUGUGGGGAGCGAACAGGAUUAGAUACCCUGGUAGUCCACACCGUAAACGUUGGGCGCUAGGUGUGGGACUCAUUCCACGAGUUCCCGUGCCGCAGCUUAACGCAUUAAGCGCCUCCGCCUGGUGGAGUUACGGCCGCAAGGCUAAAACCUCAAAUGAAUUGACGGGG
rnacentral:rRNA from 1 species